rnacentral:SRP_RNA from 1 species
GGUGGGGUUGGUGUUGGGCAAACGACUCGCCAAACCGGUCAGGUCUGGAAAGAAGCAGCCGUAACGAGUUCGCUUGGGUCAGCAUCAGCCUCCUCCUA